AGAGCGAACGCUGGCGGCAGGCCUAACACAUGCAAGUCGAACGGACCCUUCGGGGUUAGUGGCGGACGGGUGAGUAACACGUGGGAACGUGCCUUUAGGUUCGGAAUAGCUCCUGGAAACGGGUGGUAAUGCCGAAUGUGCCCUUCGGGGGAAAGAUUUAUCGCCUUUAGAGCGGCCCGCGUCUGAUUAGCUUGUUGGUGAGGUAAUGGCUCACCAAGGCUACGAUCAGUAGCUGGUCUGAGAGGAUGACCAGCCACAUUGGGACUGAGACACGGCCCAAACUCCUACGGGAGGCAGCAGUGGGGAAUCUUGCGCAAUGGGCGAAAGCCUGACGCAGCCAUGCCGCGUGUAUGAUGAAGGUCUUAGGAUUGUAAAAUACUUUCACCGGUGAAGAUAAUGACUGUAGCCGGAAGAAGAAGCCCGGCUAACUUCGUGCCAGCAGCCGC
rnacentral:rRNA from 1 species